rnacentral:lncRNA from 1 species
AGUUCAGCCAUGACAUCACUAAUGAUCAUAAUCGGAUGGUAUUAAAGAUGUACGAGUUACAAGAACUGAAUAUGAACGAACUGCAGCAACUCCUGUUACAGAAUGAUCCAAGUUUCCUCCCUGAUGUAAGAUAUUUCUGUCUGUUUGUAUACUUUUCGAUCAAUUAAAAGGACACCCUAACCUCAAUGUAGUGGUUGUGUUGCCCAGGUGUCCUGGUGCCUUUUUGCUUAUUUUAAAACAUUGAAUACAUCCACAAAACAAAAAGAAAUAAAAGAAGGUGUUAACAGCAUUCAUACAUUCAACGUAAGUGGUAUUUUGAGCCAUGUUUAAACACACAAAAUCUCUAAGUCACAGAAUCCUUUAGACUGGGCUUAACAAGUCUGGGAUUUGUCUGGCAGCCGGGCNNNNNNNNNNNNNNNNNNNNNNNNNNNNNNNNNNNNNNNNNNNNNNNNNNNNNNNNNNNNNNNNNNNNNNNNNNNNNNNNNNNNNNNNNNNNNNNNNNNNUCAUGGGGAGCUGAGGUAAGCAUGCUGGUGGGUGCUGACUGAGCGUGGAGGUGGCAAAGGAGCUGUAAUCUCCCUGCUCAGCUCCCUCGCACACCAUCCAGUGAUACCGGGAGCUGGAAUAUGAUGUCACUCCAACCCGCAUAAUAAACGGUGCUGGAGGGAGCUAACCUGGGAGAAACAUGCAAAUGUAUCAUAAAUAUUUGUUUUUAAUGACAUGCACAUUGGGUGUCUAGUACACCAGGGCAGCUCUAUCCCACAGUUCACUAAUUUAAUGACAGUACUAAUUUAAUUUCAUACAUAAAAAUAUUGAAUACGAAGUUCUACAGAUAAAAACAACUUAAAGUGAAUGGGUGGAGUGAGUGAUAGUGAUAGCAAGCCUCUGUCUAAAGGUCACUCCUAACCUUGUACACACAUAAAAACAAAAAGUAAAGAUAAUAUCGAUACAAAAUAACAGGGCGUCACAAUCACUAAUAUUUACCAGCCUUGUCAGCAUUCCCCAUAAAACAUAUAUCAAUGAAAAAAAUAUCAGGCACUCACUGUGAUACAUUAAGCAGCUUUAAUGGAUACCGCAACGUUUCGGCCUAGCUUGACAAAGACCUGGAUACAGGUCGAAACGUUGCAGUAUCCAUUAAAGCUGCUUAACGUAUCACAGUGAGUGCCUGAGAUUUUUUUCAGUGGGAUUUGGGUUGUCACUGAACACAAGUUUUGGGUCAUUUUGGUUGGACAUCUAUACUAAAUUUGUUUUCAGUGCAUUUCCAUGUCAAAUAAAAACAAUAGCAGAAAAAUAGUCCAGAUGGCAUGCAAAGUGUGAUUUAGGUAUAUUUACCAAAUGUCUUCUGAACUAACAGUUGGAAGCAUACAGUUUUCUGUUUGCCUGUUUUAGACAGAUGAGAGAGAAGACAUCUGCAAUAUUAGUAAAAUGUAUAACAUGGGUAUUAACCUACCUGACCACAUGGAAUCCUAUUCCCUCAGCUUGAGUGUUACUCGUCUGUGGUUGCCUGCUAUCUCCCUGCUCUAAACCCCUUUGGCUGUGGAAUUUAAAAGUAUGCUGAUGUGUAUGGAGGAGCCGCAAUACUGUGGGAGUCUCCAUAGAUCAAGUCUCUUGAUGAGUAAGACGAUGCCGGAAUCCGACAGCCGUCAGACCUCCUUUUGCCAACCUCAGGUUGUCCAUAAGACAAAGUAGUUCCUAUGUUAUCUUAUGGAUUCUUUGGCUUGCACUGGAAUUUCAACUCGGACAGCAUUAAUAUUAUAAAACUAUUAUAUCGUGAUAGAGCUACUUUAACCACUAGUAACAGAGAGCACAGUUUCUCAGCAACCAGAGGAAUGUAUAAAAAAAAAAUAAAAAAAAAAUAAAAAAUACAUGUUGACAUUGUUUUCAUUUUGUUUAUAUAUUUGUGCAAUUAUGACGUUUAUUGACUAUUUGUUUCAGAAAUUACUCCUGGUGCUAAAAGUUCAUUAAGAUUCACAUUUUCUUAACAUACAACAAUUACUAAAUAUACAACAAUGCAUUAUAUUCACAUGGCACUUAAUGGCAGACCUUGACACUAAAGAUAUUUUUGGGCUAGAUUUCUUAUAAAGCAUAAAUGUUGGAUAAUCCUCAUGGGAUAUGUAGUUCUCAAAUGUCUCUGCAGUACCAUUACAGUAGUCAUUACUUUACAUUAUUUAUUUUAACAAGAUACAGCAGCUAUUUAAAUUUUCUGGUGUCAUCUUUUUUUGUCUUUCCCUCACAAGGUGUGCACGUAUUAUAAUAAAGGGGAUGGCGAAUUUGGAUCUUGCACCUUUAAGACAGGCUGUCACAAAUUGCACAUUUGUCAAUAUUUUCUGCAUGGGGAGUGCAAAUAUAUGAACAAUUGCAAGAGAUCGCACAGCUUCUCAAAUGUACGAACAACAAAGAUACUGGAGAAAGGGGGAAUGAGCAGUGAACUGGUCCCCAGAUUGCUAGAUAUCUACAGGAACGCCAGCACGCUCAGAGAUAUUCCUAAGAAAAAGCAUACCAACUUGGGGACUGAAGGCAAGUACAUUUUAAUGAAUGUGAAAAUGGAAGACUAGAUGUUCUGCCCUAAUCAGGGACAAAAAAACUAGAACGAGAAAAACUGCGAAUGCAGAAAUAUAGAACUGUUGCUAGCGGUUUUUAAAUGUAUCCAUGUACCCGUAACUUUUGUUCUUAGUCACUGUGGAAGCACUUUUGCAAUUUGCAAAGACCUCUGACGGUGACAUUACCGAUGGGGUCCAGUGGCCGGGAAGGUUAGUUUAACUCGUAGGCACCACCAUCCUCUUCCAGCUGGUCCUCUUCUGUGGCAGAACUGCUCAUGUCUUCACAUAGUUUUUUUCACUUCUUUUGGAUCCACAGGAUAAAAAUAUAUGUUUUAAAGGUUGAACUUAAUGGACUUAAAGCAGAUCUGUCCCCAUCUGGGGGUCCAGUGGCUGGUGGAGGGGCAACAGGCAAAUGUGAGUUUUAAUUACCUGAACCUGUCCCUCACGGUCCCAUCCUCUUCUGUCUGCUUCUCUUCAGCAGGAGCCAACAUUGCUGCUGUACUCUCACACAUGCGCAAGAGUACACCAUUGAGGUCUAUUGAGGAUCCUGCAAGACCUAGACAAAGACAGACCCAAUUCCCUGCAGCUGUCCCUACUUGGUCUCUGUAUAUCUUUUGACUGGGUUGGAUUAUCAGUUUCACUCCAACACAGUCAAUAUGAGCAUUGCAUAAAGAUUUUAUCUGUAUGAAAUAUUAAUUUUGCUUGGGAUGGGGGAACAGUGCCACUUUAAGACUGUAGUUAGAUUUCCCAUUGACUACACUGUCAGGGUUAUUCACUAAAAUGAGAAAUAUUGGAAAUCCAAAGUGAAUUUCUAAUUUAAAGUGGACAUGGUGAGCAGUGUUUCUUACAUCCAGAGCUAUUGUUAAUUGUGUGCUGGGAGCUAGAUGCACCCCCAGCAUACGUGACUCUGUUGUGGGCUGCCUAUGUAAAUUCUCUAAAGGGACACUGUAGGGACUCAGACCACUUCAGCUCAUUGAAGUGGUCUGGAUGCAAUGUCCCAUGUCCCUUAAUCCUACAGUGGUAAUUAUUGCAGAGAAACUGCAAUAAUUACCUGCAAGAGUUAACUCCUCCUAUAGUGGCCACAGCCACUAGAGGGACUUCGGUUCCUUAGACUAUGCAUGAGGAAUUCCAGCGUCACCAGAAUCCCCAUAGAAAAGCAUUAAUUAAAUCCUUAUGCGAGUGUGGCCAUUGCCGCACAUGCGCAUUAGGUCUCCCCCACCGACGUCAGGAAGGAGUGUGGGCGGAACCUGACCAUCAUAUACAGCAAACAGGUUUGGAAAUAUCCUUAAUCUUUUUUCAAAGUUUAUUAAAGGACCACUAUAGGCACCCAGACCACUUCAGCUUAAUGAAGUGGUCUGGGUGCCAGGUCCUUCUAGAGUUAACCCCUUUUUUUUUUUUUAUAAACAUAGCAGUUUCAGCGAAACUGCUAUGUUUAUAAAUAGGUUAAUCCAGCCUCUAAAGCCUCUAGUUGCUGUCUCAUUAACAGCCACUAGAGGCGUUUGCGUGCUUCUCACUGUGAAAAUCACAGUGAGAAGACGCCAGCCUCCAUAGGAAAGCAUUAUGAAUGCUUUCCUAUGAGACUGGCUGAAUGCAUGUGCAGCUCCUGCCGCGCCCGCGCAUUCAGCCGUAGAGGAGGAGGAGAGCUCCCCGCCCGGCGCUGGAGAAAGAGGUACGUUUAAUCCCUUCCUCUCACCAGAGCCCGGCGGGAGGGGGACACUGAGGAUAGGGGCACCGUCAGGGCACUAUAGUGCCAGGAAAACGAGUAUGUUUUCCUGGCACUAUAGUGGUCCUUUAAGAAAUAUAUAUAAAAAUAUACAUAUUGCAUAUUUAUGUAUAAGAUAAGCAUACUUAUAUUAAAGUAUGCUUAUCUUAUACAUAAAUAUGCAAUAUGUAUAUUUUUACAUAUUGCAUAUUUAUGUAUAAGAUAAGCAUACUUAAAAUAUUGCAUAUUUAUGUAUAAGAUAAGCAUACUUAUAUUAAAGUAUGCUUAUCUUAUACAUAAAUAUGCAAUAUGUAUAUUUUUAUAUAUAUUUCUUAAAGGACCACUAUAGUGCCAGGAAAACAUACUCGUUUUCCUGGCACUAUAGUGCCCUGAGGGUGCCCCCACCCUCAGUGACCCCCUCCCGCCGGGCUGGAUGGAGAGGAAGGGGUUAAACUUACCUCUUUCUCCAGCACCGGGCAGGGAACUCUCCUCCUCCUCUCCUCUUCGGCUGAAUGCGCGUGUGCGGCAGGAGCUGCGCGCGCAUUCAGCCAGUCCAUAGGAAAGCAUUCACAAUGCUUUCCUAUGGACGCUGGCGUCUUCUCACUGUGAAAAUCACAGUGAGAAGUGCGGAAGCCCUCUAGCGGCUGCCAAUGAGACAGCCACUAGAGGCUGGAUUAACCCUAACAUAAACAUGUUUAUAAACAUGCUAUAUUUAUAAAAAAAAAAGGGUUGAUCCUAGAAGGACCUGGCACCCAGACCACUUCAUUAAGUUGUACAGUCAUACAAAGUCAUACGUGAUAUAUACAGGGGCGUUUUAGCCGCGAGGCAAACAAGGCAUUUGCCUUGGGCGGCAUUUUCCAGGGGGUGGCAAAAAAAGCCGCCCCGCAAAUGCCUUGUUAGCCUUGCGGCUAACAGACAUGCCGAGCGGGUGGGCGGGCAGCUGGCGAGGGAGCACUUCCUCUGAGUGGUUUGCUCAGCUCCCUCGCGCGCCGCAGAGUGAGGCUGGGAGCCGGGUUGAUGACGUCAUAUUCCGGCUCCCAGCCUCACUUUGAGGCGCGCCAGGGAUCUGAGCAGAGCGCUCAGAGGAAGUGCUCCCUCGCCAGCCGCCCGCCCAGCCCAAAGGUAAGGAGGCUGGAGGGGGGGUUAAAAAAAUACAUGUGUUAAUGNNNNNNNNNNNNNNNNNNNNNNNNNNNNNNNNNNNNNNNNNNNNNNNNNNNNNNNNNNNNNNNNNNNNNNNNNNNNNNNNNNNNNNNNNNNNNNNNNNNNUGAGUGUGUCUGUUAGUGUGUGUGUGUGUCUGUUAGUGUCUGUGUGUGUGUGUCUGUUAGUGUGUGUGAGUGUGUCUGUGUGUGUGAGUGUGUUAGUGAGUCGGUUAGGGAGUGUGUGUCUGUUAGUGAGAGUGUUUGUGUCUGACUGUGUGAGUGAGUGUUUGUCUGACUGUGUGAGUGUGUUUGCCUGUGAGUGUGUGUGUCAGUGAGUGUUUGUGUCUGCUAGUGUGUCUGCUAGUGAGUGUGUUUGCAUGUCAGUGUGUGUGUCAGUGAGUGUGUGUCUGCUACUGAGUGAGUGUGUUUGCAAGUGAGUGUGUGUGUCAGUGAGUUUGUGUUUCUGUUAGCUAGUGUAUGCGUAUCUGUCAGUGAGUGUGUGUGUGUGUGUGUGUGUGUGUAUUUAGAAGGCAGGGCGGGGGGAAGGGAUGGGUGGGGGUCGCGCGCGCGUGGAGGGGUUUGGGGAGUUUGGGGGGUGCCUGAGUUUUUGUCCUGCCUAGGGCAGCACAAAACCAGGAUACACCACUGGAUAUAUGGCAUUUUGAGAGUCAACAAAUAUUUGAUUGCUUUACUUCACCUGAUCACCUGUUUUAUCUACAAUUACCUACUUUUGUGUCAUGCAAACAUCGGCAAAUGACUUUCAAUAUCCACUUCAAGAUCAUUUAGAAGUAAAUUAAAAAGUAGACCUAGGGCAGAACCCUGUUGUGCUCCCAUUACCACUUUUGUCCGAUUUGAACAUUUUCCUUUUACAAGUAUAAAUUUAAUAAUUUCGGAAUGAAAUUAAUAAAACAUUUUUUUCUUGAUUCUUUUAAUAAAUAUUUACAUAACCUUAAAUAGCGACUUGAAUACGUUUUUUCAACUUGUUGUUAUUUAUUUUAGAUCUUCCACCCGAACCUGUGGAAGACCAGCCUAAUGAACUCUCUGAAGAGAUACUUCACUUCAUAAACAACUGCCGUUCUAAAGGUAA